UACGUAGGGUGCGAGCGUUGUCCGGAAUUACUGGGCGUAAAGAGCUCGUAGGUGGUUGUCGCGUUGUUCGUGAAAUGACCCACAGCUUAACUGUGGGCGUGCGGGCGAUACGGGCAGACUGGAGUACUGCGAGGGGAGACUGGUGAAUUCCUGGUGUAGCGGUAGGAAUGCGCAGAUAUCAGGAGGAACACCGGUGGCGAAGGCGGGUCUCUGGGCCGAUACUGACGCUGAGGAGCGAAAGCGUGGGGAGCGAACAGG
rnacentral:rRNA from 1 species